AACGAACGCUGGCGGCAGGCCUAACACAUGCAAGUCGAACGCUCUUUUCGGAGAGAGUGGCGCACGGGUGAGUAACGCGUGGGAAUCUGCCCUUUGGUUCGGAAUAACCCUGGGAAACUAGGGCUAACACCGGAUGAGCCCCGAGUUCCGCGAGGGAGUUGGGGGAAAGUUUACGCCGAAGGAGGAGCCCGCGUCCGAUUAGCUAGUUGGUGAGGUAAGAGCUCACCAAGGCUUCGAUCGGUAGCUGGCUGAGAGGACGAUCAGCCACACUGGGACUGAGACACGGCCCAGACUCCUACGGAGGCAGCAGUGGGAAUAUUGGACAAUGGGCGCAAGCCUGAUCCAGCCAUGCCGCGUGAGUGAUGAA
rnacentral:rRNA from 1 species